GUGCUUGCUUUAGCAGCACAACUACCAAAAUUGGAAUAAUACAGAGAUUAGUUAGCAUGGCCCUUGCAUAAAGAUAACAAGCAAAUUUGUGAGGAAUUCAUAUUUUUA